CCUACGGGUGGCAGCAGUGAGGAAUAUUGGUCAAUGGUCGGGAGACUGAACCAGCCAAGCCGCGUGAGGGAGGAAGGUACAGAGUAUCGUAAACCUCUUUUGUCAGGGAACAAAGGCGGGGACGUGUCCCCGGAUGAGUGUACCUGAAGAAAAAGCAUCGGCUAACUCCGUGCCAGCAGCCGCGGUAAUACGGAGGGUGCGAGCGUUAUCCGGAUUUAUUGGGUUUAAAGGGUGCGCAGGCGGUCUUUUAAGUCCGCGGUCAAAGCCCGGGGCUUAAACCCGGACCCGCCUUUGAAACUGGCAGGCUCGAGUGGGAGAGAGGUAAGCGGAAUGCGCGGUGUAGCGGUGAAAUGCAUAGAUAUCGGGCAGAACUCCGAUUGCGAAGGCAGCAUGCCGGCUCCACACUGACGCUGAGGCACGAAAGCGUGGGUAUCGAACAGGAUUAGAUACCCCUGUAGUC
rnacentral:rRNA from 1 species